rnacentral:tRNA from 1 species
GCGGGCGUGGCGAAAUUGGUAGACGCGCCGGCUUUAGGAGCCGGUGGUGAGAGCCGUGGGGGUUCGAGUCCCUCCGCCCGCA